rnacentral:rRNA from 1 species
CCUACGGGGGGCAGCAGUGGGGAAUCUUCCGCAAUGGGCGCAAGCCUGACGGAGCAACGCCGCGUGAGUGAAGAAGGUCUUCGGAUCGUAAAGCUCUGUUGACGGGGACGAACGUGCGGAGUGCGAAUAGCGCUUUGUAAUGACGGUACCUGUCGAGGAAGCCACGGCUAACUACGUGCCAGCAGCCGCGGUAAUACGUAGGUGGCGAGCGUUGUCCGGAAUCAUUGGGCGUAAAGGGAGCGCAGGCGGGCCGGUAAGUCUUACUUAAAAGUGCGGGGCUCAACCCCGUGAUGGGAGAGAAACUAUCGGUCUUGAGUACAGGAGAGGAAAGCGGAAUUCCCAGUGUAGCGGUGAAAUGCGUAGAUAUUGGGAAGAACACCAGUGGCGAAGGCGGCUUUCUGGACUGCAACUGACGCUGAGGCUCGAAAGCCAGGGGAGC